rnacentral:rRNA from 1 species
GGAAAAGAAACCAACAGGGAUUGCCUCAGUAACGGCGAGUGAAGCGGCAACAGCUCAAAUUUGAAAUCUGGCCUUCUGGUCCGAAUUGUAAUUUGUAGAGGAAGCUUUUGGUGAGGUACCUUCCGAGUUCCUUGGAACAGGACGCCUUAGAGGGUGAGAGCCCCGUACGGUUGGAUGCCAAUCCUUUGUAUAGCUCCUUCGACGAGUCGAGUAGUUUGGGAAUGCUGCUCUAAAUGGGAGGUAAAUUUCUUCUAAAGCUAAAUACCGGCCAGAGACCGAUAGCGCACAAGUAGAGUGAUCGAAAGAUGAAAAGCACUUUGAAAAGAGGGUUAAAUAGUACGUGAAAUUGUUGAAAGGGAAGGGUUUAUGACCAGACCUUUGCCUUGCGAAUCAUCCGGUGUUCUCACCGGUGCACUUCGCUUGGUUUAGGCCAGCAUCGAUUCUGGCAGGGGGAUAAAGACUUUGGGAAUGUGACUCCUCGGAGUGUUAUAGCCCAUUGUGUAAUACCCUUACUGGGAUCGAGGACCGCGCUUUUGCAAGGAUGCUGGCAUAAUGGUCAUCAACCACCCGUCUUGAAACACGGACCAAGGAGUCGAACAUUUAUGCGAGUGUUUGGGUGUUAAACCCUCACGCGUAAUGAAAGUGAACGGAGGUGAGAGCCUUAGGGUGCAUCAUCGACCGAUCCUGAUGUCUUCGGAUGGAUUUGAGUAAGAGCAUAACUGUUCGGACCCGAAAGAUGGUGAACUAUGCGUGGAUAGGGUGAAGCCAGAGGAAACUCUGGUGGAGGCUCGCAGCGGUUCUGACGUGCAAAUCGAUCGUCAAAUCUGCGCAUGGGGGCGAAAGACUAAUCG